UUAAAAUUUUCACCGCUCUAACUUCCCGCCCCAAGUUCCCUUUCCUCCCUCAAAUUUGAAAUUUUCAACCCUACCCCUACAUUCCUUACUCUGUUGUUUAUCGUUUCUGAUCCUCCUCAAAUGAUAGAUUUAUCAUCCCGCUUUUGUUCUCUACCACAUUUAACGACGGCAUCAUCUCAGCGGCAGUGGCUCAGCGAUGACAUUUUGGGUACUUCAUUUGUGGCCAAGGUUUUCAAGUAUUGAAGCAACUGAAAAUCUAACAUUUGAAACUUCUAAAGUUUAACUAAAAACUUUGAUGUACUAUUUUCAGGUCUUGAGAGGGAUCCACCUGAAGUAGUAGUGGAUAUUAGGUCUGAUGAGAAGUUUGUGAUAGAUUUGAAUUAAAGGGUUAUCAGGGAUGUGGAAUCGGUUAUGAAACCAUGGGGUGGUUCACAGGGAAAAUUAAUUGGUUUAUUGGCUCAUGGUGUAGAAAAAAAACGUCCGAGGCGUCUGUAUUGAGGUGCGUGUCUCGAGGCGAGACGGGAAGAAAUCGUUUUUGAGGCGGCGCAUCGCUGGUUAAUUAUGUUGUAAAUCACAUGAAAACCCCCUGGAUCAUUUUGUCUUUUUAAAUGUUUCUAGUUACAUUGUCCUAAAUAAUCCCAUUUUCUCUGUAGUCGCAUACCCCAAUAGUAUUGACAAAAGAGAUCACUCUUGCAGUGUCAUUCUUGAUUCAUUUGAGCUUUGGUAAUUAGUUUCACUGGUAUAAUCAUUGUUUUUGUUCAUCACCUGUUCAUGAGAUGGAUUCCAAGAUUUUGAAGAACUAGAGGUAUGCAAGGAAGCACAUGAAAUAGAGUGGGAAAAUUUCUAUAGAAAAAUAUAUGUUUUGAGACUUUGACAGCUCUAGCAACUUCCUUUCAUGUGCUACAACCUUUGACAUAUUCUAUAUCUCGCUUUGUAUGGGUUAAGUUACUAAGUGACAUAAAUUUCCCGCCGAAACAAUGAGUAGAAAUGGUCUGAAGAGGUGACCAUAGUUCCAACAUUUGAUGGUAGAAAUGUUUAACGGAGCCUUUCUUGAGGAAUGUUGAACUUGUAUCUUUACCAGAAUUAUACCAUCUGACAGACAUCAACAAAGCUUGGAGGCUCUGAUGUGGGAGCUAUCAAACACCUAUCACUUGAAGAUCAAGACGAGUAGAAUAUUCUCUUUAUUAUUAGGAUGUUAUAUGUUGAUGUUAUACUAUAACUAUUAGGAUGUUAUAUGUUGAUGGUCUAUUUAUAAAAUUGGUUUUAUAAUCUUA